rnacentral:rRNA from 1 species
UACGUAGGGGGCGAGCGUUGUCCGGAAUCAUUGGGCGUAAAGCGCGUGUAGGCGGCUCGGUAAGUCUGCUGUGAAAGUCCAGGGCUCAACCCUGGGAUGCCGGUGGAUACUGUCGAGCUCGAGUCCGGAAGAGGCGAGUGGAAUUCCUGGUGUAGCGGUGAAAUGCGCAGAUAUCAGGAAGAACACCCGUGGCGAAGGCGGCUCUCUGGAACGCAACUGACGCUGAGACGCGAAAGCGUGGGGAGCGAACAGG